UCACUGCCCUGCCUGGGACGCUGUCCAGAAGCAGCUCUAACUCCCUGCCUCGUGUCCUGGGCUCACUGUCUUCUGAGCGGGACUGGAGUUCUGAGAGGGUGCUCCGCUCCUCCUGUCAUCUCUCCCUUUCCUUCUGAGGCCCAAGGAGGAAGGCAUGCUGCGGGCUCUAGCCCUCCUUCUAGCUUUCCUGGCUCCUGCCACUCAGGCAUCUUCCAACUUGGAAGGGACACAAAUGGCAGUCAUCAAGCCGGCUGGGUCAUCUGUUGUAAUCACUUGUGAUAUUAAACAAAGCCUCACCUAUGUCCACUGGUACCGGUACAAGGAGGGGAUGGCCCCACAACGACUUCUAUACUACCAUUACCAAUACUCAAGGUUGAUGACAGAUCCGGGAAGCAAUUCAGGGAAAUACCAUAUGUAUGGAAGCUCAGAGAAGAAUCGUAAUAUUGAACUCCGAAAUCUGGAAGAAAGUGAUUCUGGUGUGUAUUACUGUGCUGUCUGGGAGAGGCACAGUGAUUCAGACCUACCCCACACUGCACUGAAAAUUUUGCUUGUGGCUGCCAAGAGCAGCCUUGGCACACACGAUAGACCAGCCUCUGUCUCCCUUCCUGCCCUGACUUCACUGUGCUCUGAACAAAGAGAGACCCUGAGCUCCAUGCCCAACCCCCACCCUUGUAUCCCACUGGCCUCCCUCCUCCCCUGUGAGCCACAGCGCUUUCCUAAAGAUAGAUCUCCCAUCUCCAGGCCUUAGACAAUCAGUCUGGCAGACAGCAUAUUCUUUCAGCUCUCCUAGGAGCUAGUGGAGUCCAUUCAGUCUGCUUCCUGGGACAAACAAUGUCACUUAGAGUUGAUCUGUUAGGGGAGACACUUAGGAGAGCAAUAUGUGAAGGUUGAUGUUACUGAAUCUUUAUCCAAUCAUUACCCAGAGAAAAUGGCUGGGAAAGGAGCUCCUGCAUUACUCAGGAGAAUGAGAAAUGAUGGAAUGAAAAUCUUGGACUACAUGAAGACCUCAAGCUGGUCUCUGAUUUAUC